GCUGAAUAUGAUGAUGUACAAUUAGGCUAGAGGUAGUGGAAUUGAUGGAGACCUCUGCUGAGUGUCUGAACAGACUAAAAGAGAGCCCUGAAGCCAAAUCCCCUCUCCACUCCAGAGUACAUUGACAUGCUCAUUGAGCUGAGAGAAAGCUGAGGCCAUACCAGGCUGGGGUGAACAAGUUAAGUCCCUGAUGGCCAUCAAACAAAAGGCAGAGUGCAUAGCCAAAUUAGAGAAAGGUGAGGAACUCCUUCCAAAUUCACAGUGAUCAGAAAUCUUAUCAAAACUUAGAUAAAAUCAAGACCAGCCCAAUCCAAGAACACAAGACGAGGUCACUCCAUUCUGACAUAAAGAAACAAGCAGGACGUUGAGAGACAGACAAUUACGACAGAAAGCUUAAACAUAAAUGUGUAGCAGAUGCUGUAGAAACAGCUCCUGCGUGACCGAUCUGUAUACAUUGUCUCCGCUUGCUUCAGGGAUAUCAGCUUCAUUCUUAUUUUUCCCGCUAUUACGUUUAAUUGUUUUAAUGAUUCCUGAUAAUGGACAGGUAUGUAUUCUAUUUUCCAGUGAAGUUUCCAUAUAUAUACAUACAUUUUUAAUUUUGCCUCCAGUGGGCCUGUCUGUUAUAGGGUAUAAAAGAGUAUUUUUAUUAAUGUUAGAAAUGUUGACUGUUUCUAUUGAUGUUCAGUUUCAAGACAGCCUCUGUUGUAAUUAAAUCUUGAAUGUAAAUCAGUUCAGUUUAACCCUGUGUGUACAAUGUGUCCAUUAGUAUGCUCUGCAGUACACAAAAGAUAUAGGGGAGACAUUUUCUUUCUUUCUUUCUUGUACCUUUUCCAUUUUUUCAAUUAUUUGUCAAUCAGUAGUGUUAGUAUAUGCUUGUUCUGUUCUGUGUGAACAAAGUUUGACUGAUUUAAAAAUAAUAAAGUUAUAUUAUGUA